GGGGCAGUGGCACAAUGGAUAACGCGCCUGACAACGGAUCAGGAGGUUCGAAUCCUGGCUGGCUCG